GACGUAGGGCGCGAGCGUUGUCCGGAUUUAUUGGGCGUAAAGAGCUCGUAGGCGGCUCAUCGCGUCUGCCGUGAAAACCCGCAGCUCAACUGCGGGCUUGCGGUUGAUACGGGUGGGCUGGAGUUCGGUAGGGGAGACUGGAAUUCCUGGUGUAGCGGUGAAAUGCGUAGAUAUCUGGAGGAACACCGGUGGCGAAGGCGGCGUUCUGGACCAUUACUGACACUGAAUCGCGAAAGCUAGGGGAGCAAACGGG
rnacentral:rRNA from 1 species